GAUGCUUCAUUUUUCUAGAUUAUCCUAAUUUAAAACAACAUUGCCAUGGGAGUCUCACACUGUUUUAAAGAUACUAUGAUUAGAGAAGAAAAGCUCAUUUUUGAAUCGUUUGUUUUAGAUUUGCUGUUGAGAUAUGUUGAGGAAUAAACAGCCACUGCCCAGAGUAGAAACACCUGAUCUGAAACAGCCUGCAUUACUGGAUAACCAGAUUAACCCAGCCAGUUCCAUAAACCAUAAAAUCUAAUUUAAUGGCAUCUUCUAUAGUGGAAAAAAAAAAAAAAAAAAACCUCUUCCAUUCAGUAGGAAGAGUUUAAAAAAGGUCAUGUUGCACCAAGGAGGAGUUAUUAAAGUCACAAAUUCUUUAAAAGCCAUGUGGGCUGAGUCAGUGCAUGAUCUCUGAUUAAAAGGAGAUAAUUUGAUUUUCUGUCUCUGAAGAUGGUAGAAAAUGAAUUCUAAAAAAACUUUAGUUAGGUUAAAUUUGGAUGUUGAUUUAAAAGCAAAACUCUAAAACUCAACAAAUGAAAUGCUUUCUUUGUUGUCUUCAUUGGGAAUUGUAGUUUAUGGAUCCACAGUAAUCAAGGACAAAUGACUCCUAUCAGAAUCUUAGUUGUUUUCGGAGGAAAAAGAAGCACAAAACAAAAAACACUCCAAAUCUUGUCACAGCGAGUUGUGGGUUGGACAGAUUCACAGCAGGAAAUAAACUAGAGAAAUCCUCAACCUGCGCGCAGUCAUCCAUGCGCCGGACUCGAAAUGCCCGCUGCAACUUCUGACACCAGCAAAAUCACUGACUAUGAGGCGGCGACAUCUUUCCUCGGAGAAUGGGGACCUUUCCAGCAGCGGACGUUUUUCCUCCUCUGCCUGAGCUUCAUCCCUAACGGACUCACUGCGCUGUCUGUGGUGUUUUUGGCCGGCACGCCGGAUCACCGCUGCGCGCUGCCCGCGCACCUGAACCUCAGCGCCGCCUGGAGGAACAGCAGCAUCCCGCUGGAGGAGGAUGCGACCCGGGACGGCGCUUUGGUGCCCAGCAAGUGCUCCAGAUACAAAGUGGAAUAUUUAUUAAAUUACUCGGAGAGAGGCUUUUUGCCCGGAUUGGACGUUAAUCUGUCCAACGUGCCGAAAGAAAGCUGCCUGGACGGAUGGGAGUUUGACCACAGCGUGUAUACAUCUACUAUUGUCUCCGAGUGGAACCUGGUGUGUGAUGAAAGCUGGAAGAAGCCUCUCACUUCUUCUUUGUUUUUUGGUGGCAUUCUUGCUGGCUCCUUCGUUUCAGGACAGCUCUCCGACAGAUUUGGGAGGAAAAUGGUGAUGUUUGGUACCAUAGGACUACAAGUAGUCACAACACUGAUUCAGGUUUUUUCUUCAAGCUGGAUCAUGUUUGUCGUCUUGUAUUUUCUACUUGGAGUGGAACAAAUUUCCAAUUACUUGGUUGCAUUUGUUCUAGGAGCAGAAAUUUUAGGUCCGCAGGUCCGAACAUUUUUCUCCACUGCUGGAGUGUGUCUUUUCUUCGCGGUGGGCUACACACUCCUACCCUUGCUCGCGUUCUUUGUGAGAGACUGGCGGAUGCUUCAGGUGGGCUUCAUGUUGGCAGGCUGCGUUUGUUUGCCCCUCUUCUGGUUCAUCCCAGAGUCUCCUCGCUGGUUGCUUUCCCAGGGUAGAGUCGAGGAAGCCGAGGUCAUCAUCCGGAACGCUGCCAAGAUGAACAGGAUUGAAUCUCCACCCGUCAUCUUUAGACCUCUAAAGAAUGAAGGCAGGACUGAAGAGACGAGGGUGCACAACAUCUGUGACCUUCUUCGCUCUCCAAACAUCCGAUGGCUCUCUGUCACGCUGUGGCUGGUCUGGAACACCCUCACCAUCGCCUACUACGCUCUUUCCCUGAACACGGCGAACCUCCAUGGAAAUCCGUUCAUCAACUGUUUCCUGUCUGCUGUGAUCGAGAUCCCAGCCUACGCUUUGUCGUGGGUUAUGUUCCGCUGGUGCUCCAGACGACUCAGCCAUUUCUCAGCACUUUUUGCAGGAGGAUUCUUUAUAUUCAUCAUACAGUUCAUACCACGACACCUGGUUGCUCUGUCCAUAACGUUUGAGAUGUUGGGGAAGUUUGCGGUGUCCACUGCCUUUGCCGUUGUGUACGCCUACACAGCAGAGCUGUACCCCACUGUGCUGAGGAACACGGCUGUCGGCGCCUGCUCCACGGCCUCCAGAAUUGGCAGCAUUGUUGCUCCAUACUUCAUUUACUUACGCAAGAACCUACUCUGUGUCCCUGCCGUACAUCGUAGUGGGAAGCCUCACAGCUUUGACUGGUCUGCUGAGUCUGCUUCUCCCUGAGAGCUUUGGGAUGCCUCUGCCCGACACCAUCAGCCAAAUGCAAAGCUUUCCUGGAUGUUGCCAGAAAAGACGUUACGUCCUCACCAGCACUAAAGAAGAGGAAAACGCUGCUGAAGAAAAGUCUCUAGCCAGACAGCAGUAAAUUCUGUGGAGUAGAAACUGCACAGAAAAGAUGCAAAAGAACAAAGAUUCAGGAUAUGGAAAUCUGCUGUUCUAUACAUAAACAAUGGGUUUACUUAAAGAGUCUCUAAUUCUGAGGUUGCACUGGACACUUUUGUUAAAAAAGUCCUUUCUAAAUCCUUUUUCCUCUCUUUCGUUAUAUAUAGAGAACCCAACUGUCUAUGUUGUAGUGAUGAACUCAGGGAGAACUAAGGAUGAUGUUUCCUUAAUUUCACAAAUUUUAAGACACAGACACGUUUAACAUAAACAGCAAUAAAACUAUUGAGGAAGGUGGGACGUCAAAUGUAAUUCAGAAAAAAAUUACUAGUGGAAGUGUUAAAAAAAAACUGAAUUUAAAGCUGAACCAGCAACACUCAGUCACAGAGGGCUGUCUGGUAACACAACUGGUUCUGAGGCUUCAGUUUUUUGGAUGCAGGGACAUUUGGUCCUGUGGUGAAAAAAAAGACAAGUGAGCAAAAGCAAGAUGAAUUCAUCAAAUGACACACACACACCCACACACACACACACCCACAGCCACACCCACAGCCACACACACACGCCCAUAUUUCUGUGAAGGUUGCAGCCAACAUUUAGAGGUGGAGCAGCAUGCUAAUAGUUGCUUACAUCACACCUUGUGCUCCAGCGCCAUCCACUGGUUGAUUGUCAUCAUUACAUAUUAUCGACCGUGUGAUGCAAAUUUGUUAAGUUACAAAUGUCUAAAUAAAAAAGCAAUUUUGUUAUUUUUUUCA